rnacentral:misc_RNA from 1 species
UAACACAAACUAUGAUCCUAGCAAUAUCAGAUACAUUAAUAGAAAUAGGAAUUCCAACCAAUGCUUAUAGAUUCUGCCAGUGACAAUCUUUUCUUCAAAAAGAAAAAGCACAUUAUUUGUUUACAUUAAAUAAGGUAAAGUGAAACAAUAAAUUAUUCUUCCUAACCUUCAUAAGUCAAAAGGGAAUUUUGUGAAAUCCACAAUAUAAACUGGGUUGAAGCAGAUAAUGAUUGAAAGAAGAAAUGCACUCUUCGGGCACAUGAAAUCUACUAAUGGAAUUUUUCAAACUACCAAAGCCAUUGAUCAUAUAUUUUGGUCAGAUCACAUGUAGAAAUUUUCACAGAAUAUUUGCAAGUCAUAAACAUGGCAACCAAACGGAAGCUUUUGCAUGAAGCCAUGUUACAUCAGAGAUUUCAAAUUUUGAUUAAUUAAUACUGGGGAGAACAAGAUGGUGUACAUCUACAGAAAAUAAUAGUAACAAAUUUACAUUGUCUAAAAGCAUAAGUGAAAUACCUAAAAGGCUAAAACAAUUGCUAGAAAUAAAAAGAAACAUAUCCAUAACUGAUAUAAGAUGAUAGAGACAUGCAGAGAAAGUCUGGGUGCUUGCAUAUGUGUCAUGCAUGGGAAGGCACAGUCAUUCCUACUAUCUACAACUGGGAGGUCCAAACAACAGAUGAACAGAUGUUUUCUGAAUAAACCUUCAAGCACUAAAGAAUGAUGAACCAUAUUUCUCAAAGCACCAAAUAUAAAUAGUUCACCUCUUCAUCUG